ACCUCAGCAUAUGAAUUUUGGAAGAUACAAUUCAACCAUACCGAUAGUUACAUUUAUAUAAAGAAUAUUUGUAUUUGUGUUUGGUAAGAAUACACACAUUCAAGUGUGUAUUAGUCAUGAAAAAGGGAGACUGGUUAUCUAUGGUUCUACCAUGUGAAAAAAAAAACAUUAAAAUUCAGUAUAUAUUUUUUCUCGCUCUUUAUUAUACAGAUUAUGGGAAAAAGCCAGUUCCAAAAAGAUGAUGAUAUUCUUCAGUGGUAUAUUACAGAAGAAAUAUUGCAAUCUUCAUUCAUUGCAAGGAGCCUGACAAAGGGGAAGAGAAAGGAAAGAAAGAAUGACAUUCCAGACAGGAGGAGGGAUAUGAAGUGAGGUGCAGACAUGAGAAGUUUACAAAACUCUAUAAGCUGGAAUUGGACGAGACUGAGAGAGCAUGGAGCCUAAUUUUUGAAAAGAAAAACGUCUGAGUAAGUAAUUUUUUAAAUAUGUAGCCUGGAGAAGAAGAAACGAGUUAAAUCCAAACACAGCAGCAGAAUGCUGUGUGUCCUUGAUGGCAGCCAGUGGUAAGAUGGGAAGGCAUCGGGUCCUGUCUACAAGGCAGAAAUAACCCUGGCUUUUUUACGGUACAUGAUGUUGAAUUUUAAAUAGUAUAUUUAAUUCCAAUAUUAUUGACAUGUAUUAACUUUAAUUUUUUUUUUCAACGUUUAUUUAUUUUUGGGACAGAGAGAGACAGAGCAUGAACGGGGGAGGGGCAGAGAGAGAGGGAGACACAGAAUCGGAAACAGGCUCCAGGCUCUGAGCCAUCAGCCCAGAGCCCGACGCGGGCUCGAACUCACGGACCGCGAGAUCGUGACCUGGCUGAAGUCGGACGCCCAACCGACUGCGCCACCCAGGCGCCCUGACAUGUAUUAACUUUAAUGCCAGUUGUGCUAAAGCCCCACAUAGUCAGUUACACUCGUGUCAACCCAACUGUUCCACGGGACACAUUAAGGAUCUAGACCCAGCAGGCAGAAGGCUUCCUGAGGGCAGGAGAAUAGGAUUACCCUUUACCUCACAUUUUACCCCUUUGCUGCAGCCACUCAUGGGACUGCAUAAGCCGGUGACUCAUUUCAUUUUCUGAGGUCACCCUUGUACCGUCAGAGAGCAUCACUGCUGUUUUCUCCUUCCCAAGGGACAACCCCUCCCCACUCCAGAAUAUUAAUUUAAGCAGAGCUACAAGAUACAGGGGUCACAGAGUAGGCUUACAGAAGCAGUGUCGUCCUUUCAGAGAUUUUUGAAAGCGAAUUUGUAACUGUAAAGAAUUUGCAACAGUAACGACAGAGAGGUACCUCCCAAGCAUAAUUUACAGAGUUAUCUUGGUUUCCUUAGUUGU
rnacentral:lncRNA from 1 species